GAUGAACGCUGGCGGCGUGCCUAAUACAUGCAAGUCGAGCGAACAGACGCGGAGCUUGCUCCUCUGACGUUAGCGGCGGACGGGUGAGUCACACGUGGAUCACCUCCCUAUAAGACUGGGAUAACUUCGGGACACCGGAGCUUAUACCGGAUAAUAUAUUGAACCGCAUUGUGCAAUAGUGAGUGACGGUUGUUCUGUCUCUUCUCGAUGGAUCUCCGCCGCAUGAGCUAGUUGUUAAGGUCCCGGCUUACCAAGGCAACUAUGCGUAGACGACCUGAGGGGGUGAUCGGCCGCACUAGAACGGAGACACGGUCCAGAGGCCUGCGAGACGCAGCAGAAGGGAAUGUGCCGCAACGGGCGAAAGCCUGACGGAGCAGGGCGGAGUGAGUGACGAAGGUGUUCGGAUCGUAAAGCCGUGUUAUGGGGGAAGAACAACUGUGUAAGGAACCAUGCAGGGCUUGACGGUACCUGGUCAGAAAGCCACGGCUAACUACGUG
rnacentral:rRNA from 1 species